UAACCUAGACCUCAGCUCAGUGCAGCUGCCUGCUAUUCAGAAGGCGAUGGCUUGAUCCUGGGCACAAAGUAUGUCUCCCAAGCUGCACUGGUACUGAGGCUGGUCACCUGUGAAACCAUCUCCCACUCCAGCCCUGCAAACUCCCCAGUGUAAGAGAGGCCAGCCCCAAAAUGACACUGCUGCUGCACAGACAGGUCCAGAAAGGCCCCGAGGGCCUGGACCACUGUGGCUGCCACUGAUACCAUGUGGCUUGAGACCGGAGGACAUCAGGCACCUAGGGCAGUGUGGCUGGCUCUGGCCUUGGGUGGUCUGUCCUGGCCUGACCAUGUGCCAGACUCACACUGCUUGGUACAGGGCACAAGGGAUAUUGUCUCCUGGCUUUGCCAACCAGAGAGUGAUGAUAUGGCCACUGCCAAGGUCUGGAGAAGCUGAAAGCUAUGUGCUGGAACCUUUGCUGGACUGAGAGUGAGUAGGAACCCAUCUCAUAGCACAUGUGAACCAGGGUUUGUGAAAACACAUGGUGACACACUCAUCUGCCCCAGAAUCUGGGUUGCAGGGUGGGCACCAAGGGAGAGCAUUGGAAGGGGGUAAACACAACAUUGGGCAUGGCCCACUGUGGCAGCUGGACUGAAGUCCUGGAGGACUAUGGGCAAACCUCGUCACCAUGUGGCUGGCAUGGCUGCGUGCCAGGAGUGCCAGCCCAGACACUGUCACCUCCCAGCUGCUCACCUGUGGUGUUGCCUAAGGAACCUGGCCCCCUCAUAGUCUGUGAUAACAUCAGCCCCGGCAUGGGAACAGAGACUGGGUAGGAAAGCCAACCCAAGAGAAGAAAAUGUUCUUCCCUAUUGUCUCAUGAUGUGUGACUAGGCUGUGUUUACAGAGCUAGAAGGAAGUGGCCGACCUUCAGGUGGCUAGAAAGAACAAACAUAAUUAAAAACAUUCUUGGGAUAAUGGUGUUCCUCCUGGGUUAUUGGGGCAAGAAUAACUGGUUAUGCUUGCUUGCUUAACUUAGAUAGUUCAGAUAACAUUGUAACUUGUCACAAAAUGUGCUAUUGCAAGAUAAUCGUCUGUGCACUGUGAGUUGAUCCGGUUCACUAUAUAAGAACCUAAAAAUAAAGUACAGCAUGCAGUAGCAACUGCUGUUUUCUCUGCUCUGCAUCCCCCGUGUCCUGAUUUCAUGUGUGCCUCUUCCCGGGGUCCCGAGUGCACUAGACACUCGAGACAAGUGGCGCCCGGAACAGGGACCCCGAUGGUCGUUCAGGAGAGAACAUGGCAUUCAACAAUGGGUCCCCGGAUGAUGGAUCAAGAUCCGCGCCUCGAGGUCCCAUCCGCUUGGCAGUGAGACUCCCAACAAAAAAACCGUAUCCCCAGAGGCGGGCACGGAAUCAACAGGACGAUGAAGAUGGUGUUCCUGUCACCGCUAUGGCCAGGCUGUAUUUGGGGUCUCGGGGCUGCCGCUCACGACGGCCAAAUUUAAACCCUCUCCCUACAUAGGGACAAAUAAAAAUAUUGACCCAAGAGGGGCAAUGGCUUGUCCUUCAAGCAGGGAAGCCUUUAAACCCUAAAAAUUUGUUUUUAGCUUUAUGUGCCUUGCUCACCGUUGCAUUGGGGACUGAGGUACCCCAACAUUCUCAUUGGGCUUAUAUUCCAAAUCCCCCUUUACUGGAACCUGUAGUGUGGGGAACUAUUGAUAUAUCACUAUAUAUAACACCAAGAAAAAAAUUUUGUCAGCACCGUGGGUGGAUUUAACCCCCCAUAAUCAGGAUGAUAGAACAUUGUUCAAUUUUACUUAUUAUGGUAAUCAACGGCCCAUUUGUAUUGGAGAACCACCUUGCAUCCCUCUGGGAUGGCAGUAUUGGAUUCAACAUGGAAUAAAAGCAGGCGAUGAGAGGACAAGGCUUCAAGCUUUGGCUGCUCAAACUUUUAAUGUUACCUGGAAAAAUUUAACAGCCCCUGAUAAAAACACAUAUCCUGUAUGCCCUGAUUUCACUUAUAACAAUAUUUCUUAUAAUCCCAUAAUUUGACAACAAUGUAUGGGGAAGUUUGCUAAAAAUAUUGAUGGAUAUAUUAUUUGGGGACCAUUUGGAAAAUUUGUUAAUGUAUGUGCUAAAUGAAAUGAGACAAGAUGUAAUCUCUCUGUCAUAUAUAGUCUUCCAGAUCCAAAGAACAUAACUAAUGGAGCUCCCGUCUUCCCUCAAAAGACACAUCUCCUGUGGUGGGGAGAUGGUAAAAUCGCCAAUCCUGCUGUUGCCACCGAAGAGUACCCUCAUAAUCUCCAAAAUCACAUUUGGAAGAUUCCAGCCGCUAUGCAACCUGUAACCUUGUACAAUGUUUCCUAUUCAGGAACUAGUGGAUCUGUAUCUACUAAUUAUAAUUUUAUUAAGUUUAUGAUAUACAAUAUUACUGUUUGUGCACCUCUGCCUUAUGUCUUUUUAGUGGGAACUUUUAAUUUUACACAUUUUUCUUGUACUUGUUUAAACUGUCAAUUGUUUACCUGUUUAAAUAGCACAUUAAAUUUCACUAAACCUUAUACAGUUAUGCUUUUACAACAAAAAACUCAUAUUUGGUUACCUAUAAAUCUGACUCGACCAUGGUCUCAAGACUCAGUAAUCUCUGUUACUACUAAAUUUUUUCAACAUCUGUUAAAACGUACAAAACAAUUUAUUGGAAUAGUGGUCGCUGUAUUGUUGAGCCUGAUAAUUGUGGCAUCUUUAGCGGCAGUAUCAGGAAUAGCUUUACAAACCUCUUUACAAAAAAAACAUGUGGUGGAACAAUGGCAUGAGAAUUCUCAUGAACUUUGUUUAACCCAAUGGCAAAUAAAUUCUAAACUGCAACAGCAAAUAGACCUUCUUAAACAAACAGUUGAAUAGAUGGGAAAAAAAUAUUGGCUCUUCAACAUCAAGUGUUUCUAAAAUGUGAUUGAAAUUCAACUACCUUUUGUAUAACACAGCGACCAUAUAAUCAGACAAAACAUAAAUGGGAAACAAUUAAAAUGUAUCUAAAUGGGAAUAUCUCUGCCCAGGAGGAAAUAGAGUCUUUGCAUAAUCAAAUUGACAAAGAUUUUGCAAAGCAUAAUGAUGAUAAAUCCCUGGCUCAAUUUGCUCAAUUGCUUGCUCAGUCUUUAGAAGGACUGGAUCCAAAAGAAAUUUGGCAAAACAUAACUCAUACUUUAAGUGACAUGGGACUUAGCCUAAUCUUAACUCUUAUCACUAUAGUCCUUGUGUAUUGUUGUUACAUAAGACGAAAUGCCACAAAUAAUUUGACCUUAUAAAAUUUUUUUUAAAUACAAAAAAAGGAAGAACUGUGGUAUCGCCUAAGGAGUCUGGCCCCCUCAUAGUCUGUGAUAACAUCAGGCCCGGCAUGGGAACAGAGACUGGGUAGGAAAGCCGACCCAAGAGAAGAAAAUGUUCUUCCCUCUUGUCUCAUGAUGCGCGACUAGGCUAUGUUUACAGAGCUAGAAGGAAGUGGCCGACCUUCAGGUGGCUAGAAAGAACAAUAAUUAAAAACAUUCUUGGGAUAAUGGUGUUCCUCCUGGGUUAUUGGGGCAAGAAUAACUGGUUAUGCUUGCUUGCUUAACUUAGAUAGUUUAGAUAACAUUGUAACUUGUCACAAAAUGUGCUAUUGCAAGAUAAUCGCCUGUGCACUGUGAGUUGAUCCGGUUCACUAUAUAAGAACCUAAAAAUAAAGUACAGCAUGCAGUAGCAAUUGCUGUUUUCUCUGCUCUGCA